rnacentral:rRNA from 1 species
UACGAAGGGGGCUAGCGUUGUCCGGAAUCACUGGGCGUAAAGCGCACGUAGGCGGAUUGCUAAGUCAGGGGUGAAAUCCUGGAGCUCAACUCCAGAACUGCCUUUGAUACUGGCGAUCUUGAGUCCGGGAGAGGUGAGUGGAACUGCGAGUGUAGAGGUGAAAUUCGUAGAUAUUCGCAAGAACACCAGUGGCGAAGGCGGCUCACUGGCCCGGUACUGACGCUGAGGUGCGAAAGCGUGGGGAGCAAACAGG